AUGCCGUCGUGGCCGAACAACAAUGAGACGUCGAGCGACGAUGACGAGUACAUGAGCGAGUUCAGCAGCAUGCAGAUGGAGUACUUUCAAACUCCUGACACUGUGAUAGACCCUAGUUUCUGUGGGCUUGUGACUGAAUCUGACAGAAGGUGCAUCCUGCACAGGCAGAGGGCGGGCAAGUUUGUGGCAUUUGAAGGCACUGACACUGGCAGGAGAUUCAUAGGAUGUGCUACUGAGGAUGGUGUGAACUGUGGUGUUCUGGAGUGGGUAGAUGCCCCCUGGCCUGUAAUUCUGCAAAGGUGCUUAAGCAAACUCUGGGAUAUGUAUCAUGAGCAGAACCUUGGUAGAGCCCAGGAUAAUGAGGCUCAUGGGAUAGAGGUUGCAAAACUGCAGAAGGAGCUUGAUUCUCUGGCCAAUCAGUAUAGCCAGCUGGUGGAUGAUGUGUCUAAGUUGUUUGAUUAUCAGGAUGGAAUCAAAUCUUAUAACAUGGAUUGCACAAGCCAGGCAAUCAAUGAACUGAAGGAGAAGAAGAAGCAACUUGAGGAGCAGACAAAGAUUGAGCUUCAAAUGGAGAAGCUUAAGCUCAAGAAAGAACAAAGGUGCAUCUGA
rnacentral:rRNA from 1 species